UACAGAGGUCUCAAGUGUUGUUCGGAAUCACUGGGUUUAAAGGGUGCGUAGGUGGGCAAGUAAGUCAGUGGUGAAAUCUCCGGGCUUAACCCGGAAACUGCCAUUGAUACUAUUUGUCUUGAAUACUGUGGAGGUCAGCGGAAUAUGUCAUGUAGCGGUGAAAUGCUUAGAUAUGACAUAGAACACCAAUUGCGAAGGCAGCUGGCUACACAAAUAUUGACACUGAGGCACGAAAGCGUGGGGAUCAAACAGG
rnacentral:rRNA from 1 species